GACGAACGCUGGCGGCGUGCCUAAUACAUGCAAGUAGCACGCAGUUGCGAACGGGUGAGUAACGCGUAGGUAAACGCCUCAUAGCGGGGGAUAAAUAAUGGAAACCAUAGCUAAUACCGCAUACUGUGAGAUGGACCUGCGUGGUAUUAGCUAGUUGGUGAGGCAAAGGCUCACAAAGGCGACGAUACAUACCCGACCUGAGAGGGUGAUCGGCCACACUGGGACUGAGACACGGCCCAGACUCCUACGUGAGGCAGCAGUGGGGAAUCUUCGGCAAUGGACGCAAGUCUGACCGAGCAACGCCGCGUGAGUGAAGCAGGUUUUCGGAUCGUAAACCUCUGUUGUUGGAGAAGCGGUAUCUAACCAGAAAGCCACGGCUAACUACGUGCCAGCAGCCGCGGUAAUAC
rnacentral:rRNA from 1 species